UUUUACAAGAUGGUAUAAAUUAAAGAAACCUGUUUGUUCACAAACCACUGCCCCAAAAAUGCAGUGAUAGAGGCAAAUCUAUACAUCUAAGAUUGCCAGCAGUCAUACAGCACAUCUGUGAACCACCAAUAUUUGCAGAUCACCCACUGUUGCUGUCCUGUGAUGUGUCUGCAAGAGACGUGGCUCUGGAAACUCAGUAGACCUCUUCAGUCCCUGAUUCCUCUGGUCUCCAACAUUAAACGUUCUUGCCUGAGGCAGCAGGCCUUGUGUGGGCAGAACUCUGAUGGGAAUUUUCCCCAGACUGUGGCUGUAAAGUUUGAACUGUUCUUCAGCUCCCAUGUGAAGGUCAUCUGAAUGUGACAGAAGGUCUGACAGACAACUGAUGAACCAUGGCAGAAGAGAGUGCAGGAUUUUACCUUUAAAAACUGAUACACGUGAACAUGUUUUUCAACAUUCUCAAAACAUGCAUCAAAUAUGUCUUGGAUUACGUAUUUUUUGCUGCACAGAGUCAGACAACAAGCAGGCAUGCAGUAAUUAGGAUGGAACUACAACAAAAACUGACCCAGGAGACCGUCUUGUUUCAUGGCUUUCUUAGGGUUAGACAUUCUUUUUCAUUAAUGGUAAUGAAA
rnacentral:lncRNA from 1 species